CUACGGAGGAUCCGAGCGUUAUCCGGAUUUAUUGGGUUUAAAGGGAGCGUAGGUGGAUUGUUAAGUCAGUUGUGAAAGUUUGCGGCUCAACCGUAAAAUUGCAGUUGAUACUGGCUGUCUUGAGUACAGUAGAGGUGGGCGGAAUUCGUGGUGUAGCGGUGAAAUGCUUAGAUAUCACGAAGAACUCCGAUUGCGAAGGCAGCUCACUGGACUGCAACUGACACUGAUGCUCGAAAGUGUGGGUAUCAAACAGGAUUAGAUACCCGGGUAGUCCACACAGGAAACGAUGAAUACUCGCUGUUUGCGAUAGACAGUAAGCGGCCAAGCGAAAGCAUUAAGUAUUCCACCUGGGGAGUACGCCGGCAACGGUGAAACUCAAAUGAAUUGACGGGG
rnacentral:rRNA from 1 species